ensembl:lncRNA
CUGAACCCAAACUGUAUUAUAAUAAUAGGUAAGCUGUUCUUUUUUAAAUUGGCAGGAUCAAACCUUUCUCACUGAUUAAGUGGUGAAGUCAGUGGAAUCUGCAGGGCAUGGUUCAUUUUCUCAUGGCUUAUCUUGAUGCCUAUAGAGAAAAAGAACUAGUCUCAGGUCCUUAAAAUGGUAUCCCAUGCAAAAGGAGGAGACCCAAAGAGCCCUCAAAGCAUCCCAUGUGAGAUUCGAGUAUUCACUAGACAGAUGUCUCUGUCCAAAGCUAGGAUGAUGCUAGCAUCUUUCAUAAAGCAUAGAAGAAAGCCCCACUGAGGGCUUUUUGUCUGUGUAGUUGGGUCCACUAACUCCUUAGGGAGAGAGGGGUUGUCCACUUGAUGACUCUACCCAGCUCUUUGAAACUCCCAUGAGAACACAAUGGAAUUCUUCUCCACUGGAAGUCCCUUAGCCACAAUUUGCCACUUGAUGCUCUGCUUAAACAGGGUGGAGCCACUUGGAAAAUAAUACCCCUCACAUUUGCCCUGAUAGUAAAAACUGGUACUUUGUUUAAGGCUAUUUAAGGCAGUAGAAAUGGAAACCUCUUUUUAAAGAAAACAACCUUUAGGGCCAGGGAUGUAGUUCAGUGGCACUGCACCUGCCUGGCGAGUGCAAGAUCCUGAGUUUGAAACAGGUACCACACACACAAAAAAGCAAAUAACUUUUAAAAAUCCUAAGAAUGACUCAAAGUCACUUGAGUCAAGUUUUACUGGCUGUUCUUUUGUUCUGCUCAGGCUGUCAGGGAUAUGUUUCUAAAUUACCUGCAUUUGUUAGAAGAAACAAGGGAAAACAACAUGGAGUCCAUGUUGCUAAUCUAAAAUGGCACCUGGUCACAUGACAAGACAAGAUAGUGGCCAGCCAUGUGACAAGAUGGUGGCCAGUCAUGUGACAAGAUAGGAUGGGGACCUGGACUAAGCACCCUGAGAAAAAAAGUCAGUCUAGGGGAAAAGCAGAUGGGACUUUGAGCUCAACAGAAAUAAACUACAGUAGGUGCUACUUAGGCAGGCUACCAGGUUACCAAGAGCUGUUUGUCACCAAAUGAGUGAGAAAGCUGAGCAAAGUAUCAUGGAGAAUAGAAACAUGAGGUUAAAGGCAUACUAAACUCUAGGAUGCACACAUGGAAAAUGGAUGCACUUGGAAAAUAUAAUGUUGAGUGAAAUAAGUCAGACAUCAGAAAUACUGAAGGGUACCUAUCAUUUGAGUGAGGCAAAGGACAAACAAAAUGAUAAAGAAUGGAUAGAAAGGAACAAGGGGACAUGUCUCAUCCAAUAGAGAAGUGGUCCAAGAAAACAAGACUAACUGGAAUGCUUAGAGUGGAGGAGAUGCGAAUCUUGUCUUCAUGGGCUCCUCUCUUCUCUCUUGACCAUAUAAAGUCCUCUAUUUGCUUAUUCUGUACAUGUUGGAUGAGUGGACUCAAUCAAUACGUGAUCUUUUGAGACUGAUUUUUUUCUACUUAACAUAAUGUUUUCCAGAUUCAUCUCUGCUUUUAAAAAGAAAAAAAAGGAGCUUGGUGGAACAUUUUCUCUCUGAAGAAUUUUGAACUCUUUACAGAUGAUUGGCAUAGUACUCAGUUUCCUGAUAUCUUUUUUAAGAUUUCCUCCCUGAGGAAACUGUCUCACAGAGGAAGAAUGAAGCUUCUGACCACAUCCUGAUGUCCUGGAGUGUGGUUGAGCAGCCUUUUUCAGGUCUCAGGAAAAGGCGAGGAAGAUUUAAAUGGAUAUUCGGGACCAUGCUUUCAAUAACACCUUGAAGAGACUUUCCCCAAAUAGCUAUUGUCAAAGAGAACCCACUGAGAGCUGUGUUAAAGGAGGGGAGUGUGAAGCAAUUUAUAUCAAUGAAAAAAAUUUAAACUAUUGAAAUCACUGUAUUGUUCAUCAACCAGAGGAGACUGUUAUUUUGAAGGCCUCUUCCAGAGACUGAACUGCCAUUUGGCUGAAUUGUCUUGGGCUCACUAAGUCAUUAAUUUCCUUUCCCAUCUGUAAAAAUGUGAAUCUUCCAGAAGAAUUUAAAGCAAAUCUGAAGAAUUUAAAGCAAAUCUCAAACUACUAUAUCCAUCUGAGGAUAUGGGAAAUGGUAAAAAGAAGAAGCCACAGAGAUUUAAUCACUGAACAUAAGAAAGAGCCUGAAACUACCUGAGCAAUAAAGAAAAGAAGCUGACCGUUUAUUGCGAGGUACAGCCAAGUAAUGCUGGAAGAUUUGAAGGGACAGAAAAUGAGAGUAGGUGCAUCUGUGCCAAGAGGCACUAUUUCUCAGUCGCACGGAACAUGCCGAAUCAGCCCACUGUAGACAGGCGGGUCUGUGCCGCCCUGCCGAGGUCCCAAGUCGUGCAGAAUACGCCGAAUCACCCAGCUGCAGACAGGCAGCCACCUGGUUCCACACUACAAAGAUGCAGAGGACACCAGACCACCAGACCAAGUUUUAUUGUAGAAGGAGGAGAAUCAACACAUUUUACAAAUUUAAGCUCCAACAAGUUGUAGAUGUUCUCUCCAGACAUUCCUGUGCCACAUCCCCACAGGAAACAAGUGGACAUGAGCCAGGGGUAAUAUUCCAGGUAAGUAGAAACAAGGACUGGGUGCUAUCUGCAAUUGCUUUAGUUGUCUUCUUUGUUGUGGUGGUGGGGAUGGAAAAGCAGCAUUUUCUUACAGUCUAAAUGGCUAACAUCAGAUCAUUUCCACUAAAGAAGGACUAUAAAUGUCGAGAUAGGGGAGGGAAAGGACACAGAAGUAUAAAGCAAAGAUUUGAAAAACACAUGUCUCUUCUAUGUUUCAAAUGGUUGAGAUCAUUUGAAGUUUGACCACUAGAUAAAUUGAGGUAAUAACAGUGCCAUACAGCUUAAAGGUGAAUUGCCAGGAUCACUAAAGGGCAAAGUGAAGACUCUGAAAG